rnacentral:tRNA from 1 species
ACCUGGCUGGUUCAGUAGGUAGAACAUGUAACUCUUAACCUUGGGAUUGUGAGUUUGAGUCCCACGUUGGGUG